CUUUUUGCCUUUCUCACCUUACUGAGGAAAGGCUAUAAAAUCACUCGAAAACUGAACUUCUCAAUUAGACCUCCUAGACCCACCUUCAUGUAUACCUAUCGACUCAGAAUCGAAUUCUGAGCAAAUGUCUGUGUGUGUGUGUGUGUGUGUGUGUGUGUGUGUGUGUGGAUGUGGGUCUGUGCACCAAAAAAUAUGCACUCGAUUAUCUCAGCACUGGCUUAACCGAUUUGGACCGUUUUGGUCUCAUUCGAUUCGUCUUGGG